UAGUGGCGAACGGGUGAGUAACACGUGGGCAAUCUGCCCUGCACUCUGGGACAAGCCCUGGAAACGGGGUCUAAUACCGGAUACGAGCCUCCUCCGCAUGGUGGAGGUUGGAAAGCUCCGGCGGUGCAGGAUGAGCCCGCGGCCUAUCAGCUUGUUGGUGAGGUAACGGCUCACCAAGGCGACGACGGGUAGCCGGCCUGAGAGGGCGACCGGCCACACUGGGACUGAGACACGGCCCAGACUCCUACGGGAGGCAGCAGUGGGGAAUAUUGCACAAUGGGCGAAAGCCUGAUGCAGCGACGCCGCGUGAGGGAUGAAGGCCUUCGGGUUGUAAACCUCUUUCAGCAGGGAAGAAGCGAAAGUGACGGUACCUGCAGAAGAAGCGCCGGCUAACUACGUGCCAGCAGCCGCGGUAAUACGUAGGGCGCAAGCGUUGUCCGGAAUUAUUGGGCGUAAAGAGCUCGUAGGCGGCUUGUCGCGUCGGUUGUGAAAGCCCGGNGCUUAACCCCGGGUCUGCAGUCGAUACGGGCAGGCUAGAGUUCGGUAGGGGAGAUCGGAAUUCCU
rnacentral:rRNA from 1 species